rnacentral:rRNA from 1 species
CGUAACACGUGAGCAACCUACCGAACUGUGGGGGAGUAGCCGGCCUAACGGCCGAGUAAUACCGCAUACGCUCUCAGAGAGGCAUUUCUUUGGGAGGAAACCUACGGGACAGAUCGAGGGGCUCGCGACCUAUCAGCUAGUUGGCGAGGUAACGGCUCACCAAGGCAACGACGGGUAGCUGGUCUGAGAGGAUGGCCAGCCACAUUGGGACUGAGAUACGGCCCAG